rnacentral:rRNA from 1 species
AACGAACGCUGGCGGCAUGCCUAACACAUGCAAGUCGAACGAGACCUUCGGGUCUAGUGGCGCACGGGUGCGUAACGCGUGGGAACCUGCCCUUAGGUUCGGAAUAACUCCCCGAAAGGGGUGCUAAUACCGGAUAAUGUCUUCGGACCAAAGAUUUAUCGCCUUUGGAUGGGCCCGCGUUGGAUUAGCUAGUUGGUAGGGUAAAAGCCUACCAAGGCGACGAUCCAUAGCUGGUCUGAGAGGAUGAUCAGCCACACUGGGACUGAGACACGGCCCAGACUCCUACAGGAAGCAGCAGUGGGGAAUAUUGGACAAUGGGCGAAAGCCUGAUCCAGCAAUGCCGCGUGAGUGAUGAAGGCCUUAGGGUUGUAAAGCUCUUUUACCCGGGAUGAUAAUGACAGUACCGGGAGAAUAAGCUCCGGCUAACUCCGUG